rnacentral:rRNA from 1 species
CCUACGGGUGGCUGCAGUGGGGGAUUUUGGACAAUGCGGGGAACCCUGACCCAGCGACGCCGCGUGAGUGAAGAAGUAUUUCGGUAUGUAAAGCUCUGUCAGCAGGGAAGAAAGAAAUGACGGUACCUGACCAAGAAGCCCCGGCUACCUACGUGCCAGCAGCCGCGGUAAUACGUAGGGGGCAAGCGUUAUCCGGAAUUACUGGGUGUAAAGGGAGCGUAGGCGGGACUGAAAGUUGGGUGUCAAAUCUACCGGCUCAACCGGUAGACGCACUCAAAACUGCAGUUCUUGAGUGAAGGAGAGGCAGGCGGAAUUCCUAGUGUAGCGGUGAAAUGCGUAGAUAUUAGGAGGAACACCAGUGGCGAAGGCGGCCAGCUGGGCUUUUACUGACGCUGAGGCGCGAAAGUGUGGGGAGCAAACAGGAUUAGAUACCCUUGUAGUC